rnacentral:rRNA from 1 species
AAUACAUGCAAGUCGAGCGGACCAAAUGAAGAGCUUGCUCUUCGGCGGUUAGCGGCGGAGGGGCAGUAACACGUAGGCAACCUGCCUGUACGACUGGGAUAAUCUCCGAGAGAAACCGGAGCUAAUACCGGAUACUUCUUUCAGACCGCAUGGUCUGAAAGGGAAAGACCUUUGGUCACGUUCUAGAUGGGCCUGCGGCGCAUUAGCUAGUUGGGUGGGGUAACGGCCCUACCAAGGGCGACGAUGCGUAGCCGACCUGGAGAGGGGUGAUCGGGCCACCACUGGGGACUGGAGAACACGGCCCCAGACUUCCUAACGGGAGGGCAGCAGUAGGGGAAAUCUUUCCGGCAAUGGAACGAAAAUUCUGACGGGAACAACGCCCCCGUUAACCGAAUGAAGGUUUUCGGAAUCGUAAAAGUUCUGGUUGUUAGGGAAAAAACCGCCCGGGGAUGAACCUCCCGGGUCGGGACGGUACCUAAACGAAAAAACCCCCGGGUAAAUACUUGCCAGCAACCCGGGGGUAAAUACUUAGGGGGGAAACGGUUUUCCGGAAAUUUUUGGGGGCGAAAAGGGGGCGCAGGGGGGGUUUUUUUAUUAGAGGGGGGAAAACCCCCGGGUCAACCCGGGGGGGGGCCCUUUGAAACGUGGGAAACUUUUGCUGAGCAAAAAGAAACAGGGAAUUUCGGGGUAGCGGUGAAAUGCGUAGAGAUGUGGAGGAACACCCGUGGCGAAGGCGGCUCUCUGGCCUGUAACUGACGCUGAGGCGCGAAAGCGUGGGGAGCGAACAGGAUUAGAUA